GUGGGGAAUAUUGCACAAUGGGCGAAAGCCUGAUGCAGCAACGCCGCGUGAGGGACGACGGCCUUCGGGUUGUAAACCUCUUUUAGUAGGGAAGAAGCGAAAGUGACGGUACCUGCAGAAAAAGCACCGGCUAACUACGUGCCAGCAGCCGCGGUAAUACGUAGGGUGCAAGCGUUAUCCGGAAUUAUUGGGCGUAAAGAGCUCGUAGGCGGUCUGUCGCGUCUGCUGUGAAACCUGGAGGCUCAACCUCCAGCCUGCAGUGGGUACGGGCAGACUAGAGUGCGGUAGGGGAGAUUGGAAUUCCUGGUGUAGCGGUGGAAUGCGCAGAUAUCAGGAGGAACACCGAUGGCGAAGGCAGAUCUCUGGGCCGUAACUGACGCUGAGGAGCGAAAGCGUGGGGAGCGAACAGGAUUAGAUACCCUUGUAGUCC
rnacentral:rRNA from 1 species